rnacentral:rRNA from 1 species
UACGGGGGGGGCAAGCGUUGUUCGGAAUUACUGGGCGUAAAGGGCGCGUAGGCGGCUCGCUAAGUCGGGUGUGAAAACUCUGGGCUCAACCCAGAGCCUGCAUUCGAAACUGACGGGCUAGAGUUCUGGAGGGGAAAGCGGAAUUCCUGGUGUAGCAGUGAAAUGCGUAGAUAUCGAGAGGAACACCAGUGGCGAAGGCGGCUCACUGGACCGGAACUGACGCUGAGGCGCGAAAGCGUGGGGAGCAAACAGG